GGGAUCGAGCGAUGCGCAUCUACCAACAAUAAGAACAACUUCCGGAACACACUUCCGUUCUUUUUCUGUCAUAUUAAAAGUGGAAAAAUCUACAUUUCUGGAUGAGCCUUUAGUGCUAUGAUUGUCCUCCGGAAUUUAUUAACAUGAUGGUCAGCUACUUCUCUCUACAACAGGGUGAAAAUCAUUGUCUUGCCUACAAACCCAUAACCCAAACUGGAAAUGUGCUGCCGGCCACAUAAAAGUGGAGAAGACCCUCUCUACCCGGACUUUGACAUCAGCAAAACUCUUAAGGUGAAAUGACAAUUGUCAGCAACGCCAAAACUCCAAGGGGAAAGACGGAAGUCGGCAUGGCCACUCAUUGGGCUGGUCCACAGCACAAUUAUGCAGCUUAUCAGCUUUCAUUGCUCUAGAA